rnacentral:lncRNA from 10 species
GGGCAGACACACUGAAGUCGCUAGACAUUUGAGGAACACAUCCGGGGAAGAAGACACAGGUGGCUGGUCAUGGAGAGCCCGCUGGGGGAAGAGCACACAGACAGGCACCGGCAGGCCAUUGACCAGCGGGACAAGGUGGGCUCAAUGUCAUCACAAGGGUGCUUAAGAGGGAAAGAGGAAGCCAUGAGGGUCAGAGUCAAAGGAAGACUUGAAGAUACUACACUGCGGACUUUAAAGAUGAAGGAAGGGGCGAAAACCAAGAAUGUGGGAAGCCUCUAGAAGCUAGAGAAGGCAAGGAAACAAAUUUUCCACUAGAGCCUCCAGAAGGAACACAGCCCUGCUGACCCACUGUAAUGUCUGACCUCUAGAUGUGUAAGGGUAGUAAGACUGAAAGUCUCAGAAAGGCACUGUUAAAUUCUUAUUCCUCAACUAUGCAACUCAAAACUGGGGUCCUCAGCAGUGAGCGAGGGGUGAGAGAAGACACUGUAUAAACAUGGCACAUCCUCCUGGAAAGUCAACUUUACUCAAAGGUUCUUACACACAGUGACAGCUAGCAGAGUCUAAAAUGCUGACAUUAUGACUUAGAGAUGUGAUAAAGAGAAACAUCUAUUGCAUUUUCUGUCUGGUUCCAGUGUCGUCUAUGGUGUGAUUCAUCUCCCAAUACCCCUGGGUGCAAUAAAACUGGUCCCUUCUUUGUACCCCGUAGCUCUUUGUUCCUCUCCUCGUAUGUGAUGGCUGUUUGAGCAUCUUUUCACCCCUCCACACCAGGAACUCCUCAGUGAGUUCUUGAGAUCUAUGCCCUAUUCACCUUUCCAGAAAAUUUGAUUCCUGUCUUCAAGGAGUUUCCAGUCUGGGCAAGGAAGCAGACAUAUAAACAUGGAAUUACGUUGCAAUUUGGAAAGUGAUGUAAAACAAUUAUCUAAAUUAGUGUACACAGAUGAGCACUAAUUUACUAAAGAAUCUUGCUUUUCUCAUAUAACAACUGAGCAGUCGGCAUGUAGGUGUAGUCUGUUUCUUAAAAUAGCAAUGUUUUCCCAGUCUUCAUAUCAAUAUUUAUGUUGUUACUCAUGCUCUGUUAAAACAAAACAAAAUAAAACAAAAUCUCUCAAA